rnacentral:lncRNA from 1 species
CAUCCUACCGUGCUCUGUGUUCCCCCAUGAGUCAGUGCCUUGUUUCAGGGUCAAGGUGUAUCAGCAAAGAGAAGAGGUCAGCUCACUCUCAAGGGAGACAAGAACAAAAGGGGUCUGCAGUCUUAUGAACCCUGAGGCUGGAGGGAGGAAGCAGAGAGAGGAUUAGGAGUAGAAAAUUACUGAGUACUGAGUUAGAAGGAGAAAAAAUGUCUUCGAGUCUACCUCUCCUCAAUAAAGAGGUCUGAGUAGAGGCAACUUACAAAGGCCUCAGCGAAAGGCCACAAAUAAAGAGGGCUCCACCUGAGGACACUGGGGUCAAGAACACAGCUGUAUAAGUUUAAGAGCUUGGCCCACCAGUUGCAGUUGCCUGAAACUCCCUUCAGAAACUGUAAUUCAUUCUGUCCGCACCAAGUCAGCUGUGACAAAGCCAGCUCUCCCCGAGGCCUGCCAGCCUUUCAAAUAUCGUUCCAUUUUCUGCAGGCCUUAAUUAUUUCUGAUAAGGGCAAUGGUGAAGGCAUGCAUAUCCCAACUGACCUCUUGGAUUACAUCUUGAUAAAAAGUAACAGUGUUUUACCACCACACUUCAUGCCACAGGUAAUUUCCUUUGGAUCCUUAGAGAGUCCAGCAAUUUUAUAUUUUUCACUUGAGGGAGCCACUUCUGGUAUUAAAACAAAACAAAAAUAAAACACCAACCAAAAAAGUCAAUGCCUUAUUUUUCAAAGUUACAUCCAUCCAAAGACUUGCUCUGGUCAAACCUAGAACAGCUGUAAAAUCUAAAUGAAGAGUUAGAGUUAAAUAUUUCCUAAUGACAUGCUUUUCGAUACUGUCUGUUCAUUUGCUGCAUUUGGUAAUGUGCCGCUGAAUAUGUAAAAACAAGUUAGUUUCACUGUAUUACUCUGAAAAGAUGCCAUGUGUUGGUAAAGAUCAUAGAAACUUGCUUGUAUUGGCUUCCAGAAAUAUAUUAAAGAAAUGAAAACAUUUAAUCUGUGAAUGAAUUUUAAAUGUAUCUCAUUGCUGGUCAUAUUCUGUUUUAUUUUGGUUUGUUAAUGUGUAAAGUAUUGAAACCAAGGAGGUUUACUUUGAAGCAUUGUGAAAUAUAUGACAUUAUUUAUGACAGAAAAAUAAUCAUUGCCAUCACUGUUGCACAAUUGUGCUUCCGUGCCCUUCAGAGGCUGUUAUAAUGCUCCCUUCCUGGCUACUAUUGGGAGAAGAAUCCUUUAAGCUCAGACAGUGACUAUCUUAUGCCCAGAUAAAAUGAUGAAAAGUAAACCUAAACCGAGUGUUUGUCUCCAU